rnacentral:lncRNA from 1 species
UAGGUCUCUCUAUAUGUGGUUUGGUUCUAGAGUAAGGGUACCUGAACCAACAGAUUCCUCGAUCCUCACCCAUUAUAGGCUCAUUUGAAUCGAGUUCAAUUCAGGAGAAUACAUUUCCCUAUGGCUACAUGGAGAUGAAAAUCUCACGAAACCAUAGGUACGGAUGUAUUCCGAAAGUGAUCCACUAUCCUGCACGGAGGUGAAAACCUCACGAAGGCGUAGUUUCUCACUCCCACUUAAGGGUGUGACCACAACGGUCAUGCAAUGCAAUGCGAGAAGAUAUAUGCAUAAAAACUUGAAACGAUUAAAGAAAAUAGGAAUAAAAUGAUGAAAACAGUACGAAAAACGGGUGAAACUCAAUGAAGUGAUCAUAUAUCAAAACCAAAUUCUCAAUUUCCGAAAAAAGACAAAAGUUAAUCAACUUGUGGCUUGACUCUCUUAUAAAAGUCCCCAGUGGAGUCGCUAAGCUGUCGUAACCAUUUUUUAAAAAAAAACGGGUAUCGACUUGGAGAAAAAAAAACGAAAACAGGAGUCGCCACCAAUCUUUUUAGGUGUGAUCGGAUCACCUUAAGUUAAUCAUUUUAAUAAAAGUUAAGAUUUACUAAAAUGAUAAUUUUUGGUCUACGAAAAUCAAAAAAUGAGUUCGGGAGUCGGUUAUGCACGAGGAAGGAUUAGCACCCUCGAUACGCCCAAAAUUGGUACCUAGUUGAUUGAUUAGUGUCUUAGUGUCGAAAAUUUGAAAACUUGAAAGAAUUUAAAAUACGAUCCCUCUUUGUAAAGAAAAUGCUCAAAUGUUAAGGACCUUCUCGUCUCACAAUAUAAAAUAUCAGAUCCAGUAAGUUAGGACACGACAUCUUGAAUUUUCGAGAGCGAGCUUGCCUUUUAUAUAAAAAUUCAUGUAUUUCAAAAGGUUAUUCAGUUAGUUAAGGUGAACGAGGAAAAUCGAAACCCAGUAAGUUAGGGCACGUUUCCUCGAAUUCCCAAACACCGAAUAUUGCCUUUACUUGCAAAAAUCUUAUUUCGAGGUAACAAAAUGCCAUACCCAGUAAGUU